UUUUUUUUCUCCGCCCCCCCGAAAAAAAAAUCUACAUAGCGGAGGAAAAGAAACCAACAGGGAUUGCCUUAGUAACGGCGAGUGAAGCGGCAAUAGCUCAAAUUUGAAAGCUGGCACCUUCGGUGUCCGCGUUGUAAUUUGUAGAGGAUGCUUCGGCGAGGACUCCUGCCUAAGUCCCCUGGAACGGGGCGUCACAGAGGGUGAGAAUCCCGUAUGUGGCGGGCGGUCCGAGCCAUGUGAAGCUCCUUCGACGAGUCGAGUUGUUUGGGAAUGCAGCUCUAAAUGGGAGGUAAAUUUCUUCUAAAGCUAAAUAUUGGCCAGAGACCGAUAGCGCACAAGUAGAGUGAUCGAAAGAUGAAAAGCACUUUGGAAAGAGAGUUAAAAAGUACGUGAAAUUGUUGAAAGGGAAGCGCUUGCAACCAGACUCGCUCGCAGUUGCUCAGCCGGCCUCUUGGCCGGUGUACUCUUCUGCGAUCGGGCCAGCAUCAGUUCGGGCGGCCGGAUAAAGGUGUCGGGAAUGUAGCACCCUUCGGGGUGUGUUAUAGCCCGGCGCGGAAUGCGGCCAGCCUGGACUGAGGAUCUCGCUUCGGCAAGGAUGCUGGCGUAAUGGUUGUAAGCGGCCCGUCUUGAAACACGGACCAAGGAGUCUAACAUCUAUGCGAGUGUUUGGGUGUCAAACCCAUGCGCGUAAUGAAAGUGAACGGAGGUGGGAACCCCUCACGGGGUGCACCAUCGACCGAUCCUGAUGUCUUCGGAUGGAUUUGAGUAAGAGCAUAGCUGUUGGGACCCGAAAGAUGGUGAACUAUGCCUGAAUAGGGUGAAGCCAGAGGAAACUCUGGUGGAGGCUCGCAGCGGUUCUGACGUGCAAAUCGAUCGUCAAAUUUGGGUAUAGGGGCGAAAGACUAAUCGAACAUCUAGAGCUGGUCUGGCUUUUUUUCUUUAAAAAAAAAAAAAAAAAAA
rnacentral:rRNA from 1 species